GCAAGCUGUGUGAAUAGCAGCUGGCUACAAUGCCUGAAGCCUUAGGGUGCCAGCUGCCUGGAGUGGCAGCUGGGUGUUGUUCAUAAGCUAAGCCACCCCGCACCAAAAAUAUAUUUUACAUGCUUGAGCUGACCUUGCCGCAAAUCUCAAGGAACCAUGCAGCAGGAGAUCUCACAGGCGAUCAGCACUCAAACCAGUGGACAGCUAUUAGAUCCAGCGUUUUUCAGCUGCUUCGUUUAUUCAAGUAGGACACAAAAGACUUCUGGGAUUCCUUCCUACAAUAAGGAUCC